ACACUAUAAACGUCUGACGGCGUCUUUGAACGGGAGUCUUUAAAGGUGCCCAUUCGAUACCAAAAGCCUUGGUCAUGAUGGAAUUAAAAAGCCGAAUUUCGGACUUCUUUUACCAAUAUUUCAGAAUUUAUUCCAGGAAAAGUUGUGGAUAGAUGGUUGUGAAAUAGGGAUUUAUUGGAAAGGUUCUUGUUGUUCUCUAUAUCUCUGAUUGGAAUGUCUGUUUGGAUAUUUGUUAAGAAGAAACUGAAAUGUGACACUAAGUAAUUGGUGAAGUAUGAAUAUUAUUUAUUGGACAAAUAUAAGGAUACUUAGAAAGUUGUCAGAA